UACGUAGGGUGCGAGCGUUGUCCGGAAUUACUGGGCGUAAAGAGCUCGUAGGUGGUUUGUCGCGUUGUUCGUGAAAACUCACAGCUCAACUGUGGGCGUGCGGGCGAUACGGGCAGACUGGAGUACUGCAGGGGAGACUGGAAUUCCUGGUGUAGCGGUGGAAUGCGCAGAUAUCAGGAGGAACACCGGUGGCGAAGGCGGGUCUCUGGGCCGAUACUGACGCUGAGGAGCGAAGGCGUGGGGAGCGAACAGG
rnacentral:rRNA from 1 species